rnacentral:rRNA from 1 species
AUUGAAUGCUGGCGGCAGGCCUAACACAUGCAAGUCGAGCGGAUGAAGGGAGCUUGCUCCUGGAUUCAGCGGCGGACGGGUGAGUAAUGCCUAGGAAUCUGCCUGGUAGUGGGGGAUAACGUCCGGAAACGGGCGCUAAUACCGCAUACGUCCUGAGGGAGAAAGUGGGGGAUCUUCGGACCUCACGCUAUCAGAUGAGCCUAGGUCGGAUUAGCUAGUUGGUGGGGUAAAGGCCUACCAAGGCGACGAUCCGUAACUGGUCUGAGAGGAUGAUCAGUCACACUGGAACUGAGACACGGUCCAGACUCCUACGGGAGGCAGCAGUGGGGAAUAUUGGACAAAGGGCGAAAGCCUGAUCCAGCCAUGCCGCGUGUGUGAAGAAGGUCUUCGGAUUGUAAAGCACUUUAAGUUGGGAGGAAGGGCAGUAAGUUAAUACCUUGCUGUUUUGACGUUACCAACAGAAUAAGCACCGGCUAACUUCGUG